rnacentral:rRNA from 1 species
UGGGGUAUAUUGCACAAUGGGCGAAAGCCUGAUGCAGCGACGCCGCGUGGGGGAUGAAGGCUUUCGGGUUGUAAACCUCUUUCGCUAUCGAACAAGGCCCGCUUAGGGUGGGUUGAGGGUAGGUGGAGAAGAAGCGCCGGCUAACUACGUGCCAGCAGCCGCGGUAAUACGUAGGGCGCGAGCGUUGUCCGGUAUUAUUGGGCGUAAAGGGCUUGUAGGCGGCUUGUUGCGCCUGCUGUGAAAACGCGGGGCUUAACUUCGCGCGUGCAGUGGGUACGGGCAGGCUUGAGUGUGGUAGGGGUGACUGGAAUUCCAGGUGUAGCGGUGGAAUGCGCAGAUAUCUGGAGGAACACCGAUGGCGAAGGCAGGUCACUGGGCCAUUACUGACGCUGAGGAGCGAAAGCAUGGGUAGCGAACAGG